CUGUUUCUUGCUUCAACGGGGUUUGGAUGGAAUAG
rfam:Felis catus isolate Cinnamon breed Abyssinian chromosome A2, whole genome shotgun sequence.